rnacentral:lncRNA from 14 species
AUGGUUUCGGGGAGUUCAGGGAGAGGAUUGCGGAGUUCAAUAACAGAGCCGGGAGGGAGCGGCGGCCCGGGGGCGCCAGCGUUUCAUAACGCCCCGCUCCCCCCGGGGCAAAAGUCGGGGCUGCCCCCGGCCAGCGAACAAAGCCCGGUCGCCCCCGCCUUACCUUCGUUGACCAGUUUAAAGCUUUGGGAUUUCCUGCUCCUCUUCCUCUGGGCGAACUCCAUGGGAUUAUCGCAGCCAUGUGUCCGCUGGUGUCAUGGACCGAGGCCUGGAGAAGAGCGCCGAGCCGCCAGCUGGGCUGAGCUGUGCCAACCCUCGAUCGCCUUAGCAAGAGGAAGGGAGUCCCUCGGUCAAAAACUGGAUCGCCUUAGCAAGAGGAAGGGAGUCCCUCAGCCACAAACUGGAUCGCCUUAGCAAGAGGAAGAGUCUCGGCUCUCCAGAGGAGCGAGAUUUAGGGCGUCUGGCAGCCCUCCCGACGGUCACCGUGAGGUCACUGCAGCCAUACGGCUGGCCCAAACACAGCUGAAAUUAGUGCUUUGAUUUAUUCACCACUUGACGCGUUCAGCCACACUUUCAGUUUGCUCACUGUGCUAAAUUCACUGAGGGUGUUUUUUUUUUUUUUACAGCCGAGAGUGCUUUUGCCUGUUGCCUGUAGAGAAAGGACCCAGGCGUUUACAGUUAUGACUGCUGAUAACUGCAAACACAGCUCCGAUCAUCAUCUUGUGUUUUACAUGUAGUCAGACUGUGUUGUGACAAGGAGAAGACUAUGUGAUACUUGCAUACGCCUACUUGAACAGAUGCAAAUGCAGAUCUUGCCUUGGUCUCCUCAGAGUACCCAGGAGAAUCCCGUUAACUCCAGUAAUAUUGACCGACCCUAUCACUUGGAAUAAUGACAUAAAAUGAGCAGGAGGGAAGCAAAUUGAAUACUAACAGUAGCGAUUUGUAUCCUGACUGUGUGCAUGGACACAGUCAGACCUGAAUUCUUCAGUGCAAGGUGCCAUCCAGACACCACACAGAGGGUAUAUGUGGUUCUAAAAAGAAAAAUUGGGAAAUAGCAUUAAUGGUGAAGCAAUAUCAGAAAAUAUGCCUAAUGGUAAAAUUUAUUAUAUGCUGGAAAAUUAAAUUCACGAGGGAGGUUAUGGAAACCUCACAGAUUGGGUAGGGGUGUAAUUUUCUAUUAAACUGCUAAGUGGAAAAUCCCAGAGGCAAUCAGUAUGCUACUUUUGGAAUUUUCCUAAACUUCUCUGUAAGACUUUAUGAAAGGAAACUGGGCUAACGUACUAUUUAAAAUCCUACAUUAUAUAUUUUUGGGAGGAUGCUGAAGCAGCAAAGGUAGAUGGAUGUCAUAUGCUGUUUGCUGGAUUUUGUGGGUCCAAUUAAUCUCUGGUACAGUGUAAUGAAGUCUGGUCUGAAAUGCAGCAGCAGCAUGCCUACAUUUUUCCUACAAAAAGAGUAUUUUCUCUCGUUUUUUUUUUCCCCCUCCCCAAACAGUAUGCUGAUUCCUGUCUGCUAACAAACUUUAUUUACAGGACUUACAUGCUGAAACUGUUUGACUCUCAUCCUUCUUGGGACAAUAGGAGAAUUUUUAUAAAGCAUAAGGCCCUCAUUUACAGUUCAGCUCACAUGAUGAGCUUUAUCCUGCAUUUGCCAAAGGAAUGUGCUACAAAAAUAUUUUCUGUUUUCCUCUGUUACUCAAUUUUGUGAAAUAUUUUGGGAUAUAAUUUAUGAAAAUGUGAUGGCAAUGUUUUAUCAGCUGCUCUCUUACUGUUUUUAGUUCUUCCUUCCCUGUGCUGAUAUUUUGCUUAAAGGGGCACUCGCGGCUUUAAAUGACAUUUCAGUCUGGGCAAUGCAGUUUCCAGUAAUGUUUUCCAAGAGUUAGCACAUCCCCUUUUCCACUGAUAUUUCUGAUUUUCCUUUUUGUGACUUAAAAAGAUCCAUCCUUUUCAUGCAGAAUAAGCCUGAUCCUGCAAGCUAGCCUAACUGUGGUCACUCAGAUGAAUAAAUCUUGCAGCUUUCAUUUAUGAAAGUACGAGCCAGUGUGGAUACCACAUCCCCAGUCCUGCCAUCUCAUCUGCAUAAAAGUGAAUUAGAAACUAGGACAAGGUGACUUUAGGUCAAAGUCUUGUAGUUAUCCAUACAACACGUAGGAGGAUCCGGUAGCUGGAAGCAGCUUUCUGUCCUGCACUGCUGGAGCUUCUCAGCUGGGACUGAGAAAAAACUACACAAACUCAAAGGCUCCCAUGUACAGGGAGCUGGGAGUCUGUUGUUGGGCAUUUUGGGGUGGGCAUCCUAAAACUGGGCUGGGAUCAUCUGCUCGUUUGUCACAGGCCACCAUUGCAUUAUUCCAGCUGGAGAAAUGCAGAGAUGAAAGUCCUCUUUAUCCCAUUAGAAUGGCUGCCUUGUGUCACCCUAGAUAGUCACUGCCUGCAUCGCUGUGGCAGCCAAGUGACUUAGGAUAAAAUGCACACUGGCUCUGGGGGGCAGACAGCUUUUAAUUUCAUCUUUUAUUUCAGUUUCUGUCUCAGUAUCAUGUUGUUAUUAUUACAUAUUAAGAAUCCAUAGAUCCUUUUUUUUCUGGUGAAAAUAUGAAAAAUUCUGAGCAUUUUGUAUCUAUUCAUGAAUGGUUUAAAAGUAUUUCCUCAAACCCUUGACUGAGUAGUGUGUUUUUCAAAAUGCCAUGAAAUUGGCCAACUGAAUAAGGGCUUUGUCUUGUAACAUGUCCCAAGUCAGUAUGAUCAUCCCUGAUGAUUUCCUAGUUAACAUUUUAUUAUCCUUCAAGUUACUUUCAAAAUAUCCCCUCCCC